rnacentral:rRNA from 1 species
CUUAACACAUGCAAGUCGAGGGGCAGCAUGGUCUUAGCUUGCUAAGGCCGAUGGCGACCGGCGCACGGGUGAGUAACACGUAUCCAACCUGCCGUCUACUCUUGGACAGCCUUCUGAAAGGAAGAUUAAUACAAGAUGGCAUCAUGAGUCCACAUGUUCACAUGAUUAAAGGUAUUCCGGUAGACGAUGGGGAUGCGUUCCAUUAGAUAGUAGGCGGGGUAACGGCCCACCUAGUCUUCGAUGGAUAGGGGUUCUGAGAGGAAGGUCCCCCACAUUGGAACCGAGACACGGUCCAAACUCCUACGGGAGGCAGCAGUGAGGAAUAUUGGUCAAUGGGCGAGAGCCUGAACCAGCCAAGUAGCGUGAAGGAUGACUGCCCUAUGGGUUGUAAACUUCUUUUAUAAAGGAAUAAAGUCGGGUAUGCAUACCCGUUUGCAUGUACUUUAUGAAUAAGGAUCGGCUAACUCCGUGCCAGCAGCCGCGGUAAUACGGAGGAUCCGAGCGUUAUCCGGAUUUAUUGGGUUUAAAGGGAGCGUAGAUGGAUGUUUAAGUCAGUUGUGAAAGUUUGCGGCUCAACCGUAAAAUUGCAGUUGAUACUGGAUAUCUUGAGUGCAGUUGAGGCAGGCGGAAUUCGUGGUGUAGCGGUGAAAUGCUUAGAUAUCACGAAGAACUCCGAUUGCGAAGGCAGCCUGCUAAGCUGCAACUGACAUUGAGGCUCGAAAGUGUGGGUAUCAAACAGGAUUAGAUACCCUGGUAGUCCACACGGUAAACGAUGAAUACUCGCUGUUUGCGAUAUACAGCAAGCGGCCAAGCGAAAGCGUUAAGUAUUCCACCUGGGGAGUACGCCGGCAACGGUGAAACUCAAAGGAAUUGACGGGGGCCCGCACAAGCGGAGGAACAUGUGGUUUAAUUCGAUGAUACGCGAGGAACCUUACCCGGGCUUAAAUUGCAGAUGAAUUACGGUGAAAGCCGUAAGCCGCAAGGCAUCUGUGAAGGUGCUGCAUGGUUGUCGUCAGCUCGUGCCGUGAGGUGUCGGCUUAAGUGCCAUAACGAGCGCAACCCUUGUUGUCAGUUACUAACAGGUCAUGCUGAGGACUCUGACAAGACUGCCAUCGUAAGAUGUGAGGAAGGUGGGGAUGACGUCAAAUCAGCACGGCCCUUACGUCCGGGGCUACACACGUGUUACAAUGGGGGGUACAGAGGGCCGCUACCACGCGAGUGGAUGCCAAUCCCAAAAACCUCUCUCAGUUCGGACUGGAGUCUGCAACCCGACUCCACGAAGCUGGAUUCGCUAGUAAUCGCGCAUCAGCCACGGCGCGGUGAAUACGUUCCCGGGCCUUGUACACACCGCCCGUCAAGCCAUGGGAGCCGGGGGUACCUGAAGUGCGUAACCGCGAGGAGCGCCCUAGGGUAAAACUGGUGACUGGGGCUAAGUCGUA